GCGGGUGUGGCGGAAUUGGUAGACGCGCUGGUUUUAGGUACCAGUUUCUUUGAAGUGGGGGUUCGAUUCCCUCCACCCGCACCA
rnacentral:tRNA from 1 species